rnacentral:rRNA from 1 species
AUGGACCAGACGCAGCGGCUGCCCGAGGACCUGCACGCGGACGUCCUCCGCUGUCUUCCACCGCGCAGUCUUGCUGCAGCCCGCUGCGUGUGCCGCUCCUGGCACGCCAUCGUCGACGCCCAUCGUCUCCUGGACCGGGACCUCCUCCCGCUCUCCUUGGCCGGCUUCCUCAUCAACUUCUGUGAGCUUGACUUCACGGAGUUCUUCUUCGACCCCUCAGCAAUCCGCGGCUACGCCGACCUCCACUUCAUGCCCACGGACGACAUCUCUGUGGAUGAUGGAGAUGCCCUGGGGACUCUUGCCGACAUGUUACUGCUUGAGCUGCCAAUGCCAGAUGAACUAUACGCUGUGUACUGGCAUGGAGAAAUCUACGUGCACUGUCAUUUUGUUAUGAGAAUAUCGUUAUCAAGUGGCACGUACCAAGCAAUUAAACUGCCAACAGAUGUUGAUCAGCACCGGUGGGCACAGGUUCUUCUUGGGAGAUCAGAGAAGGGGGUGUAUUUUGCAGCACUUGAUGGUCAAUGUCAUCUUCGAGUUUGGAUACUCACUGAAUGCUGCGGUCAGAGUGAGUGGUUUCUGAAGCAUGAUAACAACCUUCACCAAAUCCCACCACCUCAAAACUAUGAUCCACAAGUUCACAGGCCCUGCUGGAUUAUGGCAGAUAUCAAUCCAGCUAUUUACAGUACAGUAAAAAAGAAGUUCGAGUUGAAUUCAGACCAUGAGAUAAUCUUUGAAACUAGACUUGAAGGGCGCAGGUGGGAUGAACAUAUUAAGAUCCUUGGAUUUCAUCCUUACAAAGAAAUAAUUUAUUUCAGUGAAACGUUGAACAGAGGAUAUGCCUAUCAUCUAGAUGAACUCAAGCUAGAAGACUUGGGCAACAUGCGCCCAAAAGGAUUGGAUGACUGCUAUAAUAAGGAACUAGAAAGAUCUAUUCCAUAUACACCUUGUUUGUUGGGCCCAUAA